rfam:Bombyx mori DNA, contig: Bm_scaf1_contig123, strain: p50T/Dazao, build 2, whole genome shotgun sequence.
UUAACUCAAAUUUGUAUGGAGUUGGAACGUUAGCCUAUGUUUGCCGCUAGAGGCAAUGUUCCAAAUGUAUAAAAAUUUGAGUUA